rnacentral:rRNA from 1 species
CCUACGGGAGGCUGCAGUGGGGAAUAUUGGGCAAUGGGCGCAAGCCUGACCCAGCAACGCCGCGUGAAGGAAGAAGGCUCUCGGGUUGUAAACUUCUUUUGACAGGGAAGAGUAGAAGACGGUACCUGUCGAAUAAGCCACGGCUAACUACGUGCCAGCAGCCGCGGUAAUACGUAGGUGGCAAGCGUUGUCCGGAUUUACUGGGUGUAAAGGGCGUGUAGCCGGGUUGACAAGUCAGAUGUGAAAUCCUGCGGCUUAACCGCAGAACUGCAUUUGAAACUGUUGAUCUUGAGUACUGGAGAGGCAGACGGAAUUCCUAGUGUAGCGGUGAAAUGCGUAGAUAUUAGGAGGAACACCAGUGGCGAAGGCAGUCUGCUGGACAGCAACUGACGGUGAGGCGCGAAAGCGUGGGGAGCAAACAGGAUUAGAUACCCCAGUAGUC